GAUGAACGCUGGCGGCGUGCCUAAUACAUGCAAGUCGAGCGAACAGACGAUGAGCUUGCUCCUCUGACGUUAGCGGUGGACGGGUGAGUAACACGUGUAUAACCUCCCUAUCAGACUGGGAUAACUUCGGGAAACCGGCGCUAAUACCGGAUAAUAUAUUGCACCGCAUUGUUCAAUAGUGAAAUACGGUUUUUCUGUCACUUAUCGAUGCAUCCGCGCGGCAUUAGCUAGUUGUUAAGGUCACGGCUUACCACGGCGACGAUGCGUAGCCGACCUGAGAGAGGGAUCGGCCACACUGGAACUGAGACACGGUCCAGAGGACUAAGGGAGGCAGCAGUAGGGAAUCGUACGCAAUGGGGGAAAGCAUGACGGAGCAAGGCGGCGUGAGUGAUGAAGGUGUUCGGAUCGUAAAACUCUGUUAUUAGGGAAGAACAAAUGUGUAAGUAACUAAGCACGUAGUGACGGUACCUAAUCAGAAAGCCACGGCUAACUACGUG
rnacentral:rRNA from 1 species